UUUAACGCACACGGCACACCCUCCUCGUGCGGCUUUCCCGUUCCCGGGCGAGAGCGGUUUAUUCACGCCCCCCGAACCCCAGCCCCACCAACCCACGCCAUUGCCCCUCUCCACUCCCAAAACCCUCGUUUCGUUCCUGCUUCUCGCCGCACGCUACCUCAUCCCAGCGGCGAUUCCUCGUCUCCCUGCGCGACGGCCGGGAACGCCCGAUUCCGAUCGUAGACGGGCACGCGUUCGUCGUGAGACAAAUUAGUAAAAGUGGAGGCUUGGUGAGAAGAAUGCCCCGAAAUGUGUGGUUUUGUGAAAUUUAAUCAAGGUCUGCUGUAUAUAUGAGCCAGUUUACUGGUGCUUGGAUACAAAGGGAUCCUUAACCAGUUGCACCAAAAAGAACUAACUUUAACUAAGGUGCUGUUCAUGUAAAGAGCAUAAGUUUCCACCUCGGUUAGACAGUCGCCCUACUAGAUUGAGAUAUUAUGGAUCACAACGAAGCCUGCAACGGUGAAUGUGAUUAUGAGUCUGAACUAGAAGAAGGUGAGAUCAAAGAGGAGGAUGAGCCACCUAGAACAGAAAGGCCUAUCCACAGAGGCAUGGCUGCAAGUGUUGUAGAGCUGAUUUCAUAUGGUCAAGAGGUGUUUGAAAAGGAGCAGGUCCAUAUAACACAAUCGGCUUCACCGCAAAAAGCUUCUCAUAAAAGGGAGACUGCAGGUACUGUGGUUGUGCAACAAUCUAAGUAUAGUGAAAUCCACAAGGAUGUGGUUCAAAGUGUUGUAGAGUUGAGCUCGUUUGUGCAAGAUACAAUUGAAAAAGAGCAAUUCGAUAUUAGGCAAUCAACUUCACUUGAAAGAGGUUCCCGUCAAGGAAGAACCACAGGUAUUAUGUUUGUGCAGCCUAAAUGUAGUGCAAUCCAUGAGGACAUGGCUGCAAGUGCUGAACUGUUGAUCACAUCUUCCCAAGGGACCGUUGAGGGGCUAUCAACUUCACCUGAAAGAGGUUCCCACCUUGGAGGGACUGCAAGUACUAAGUAUAUUGCAUCUGAGAGUCGUGAUGUUAAUGUGAGACAGUCAACUUUCCAUAGUACAUGUGGGAACCACCAGCGGAGUAAUUCACGAUCCAUGAAUAUUAGUUCAGAAGAAAGGCAUGAGAAAAGGAAGCAAAAAUGUUUUAAAUACUCUGAUUCCCGAUGGGUCUUGAAGAUGAUUGAGGAAGUUUGUUCGGGAAGAUUCAGUACACUAUUGUUACGGCAGACUGCAGACCGGAAGAAACUCAAAAUUGCGUUUAAGAAGCAGGAGUUAGAAUUCUUCCAAAAGCAGGUACACUGGUAUAAAUUUCAUUAUGCGCAUGUUAUGCCAACAAUAAGAUAUGGCAGAGUGAAGUUGCCGAAGCUACAUAUCAACAUUUUGCAAGACAGAUUUCAUAAACAUAUGAAAUCUCAGCUGAUCAAAUUUGUGAAACAGCAAAUAAGUGAAAGGAACAAGGAGAAUCAAAUAAAAGAGCGCUGGAUAUUUGAGGCUAAAGCUGGCUACCUUAAGAAAUUGUUCAGUGCGAUUUCCUUGUCAUAUCCUGGAUUCAAAUUGGAGAAAUUAGGUUGGCAGAUGACCGACAGUCCGGAUGGCGAUGAGGAUCUCAAAUGUUUCGAAAUGCAAUCUCUAACUACUCAAAUUGAAGCCAUUGCCUCUAAUAGUGAGCCUGAAGGCACAUCCAGUGAUGUUUCUGAGUUCAUUAUAGAAAACUCACCGUCACUGCUCGAAAAAAAUGGGGCUACAAAUCUUGGGUUUUCAGUUUGUGUAGCGGAAGAAAUGUCCAGCUUAGAUAGCAGGUCUUCAAAGUCCACCAAUGCACCCACAAUGGAGUUUGGUGAGAAAAAUGGGGCACAAAUUAUCUUGGCAGCAGCAGAAAAUGAGGGGGAGAACAUCGAGAGAAGCUACGCUUCCCAACUUGACACAAGCGCGGCACUAGAGCCUGUUAUGGCAGUGAAAGCAGGUAAGGCGAGUGAUGUUUCUGAGCCAUUGCCGCUUGAAACAAAUAGAGUUACAGAGCUUGGGUCUUCAGUUGGUGUAUCCAAAGAAAUGGCUACCUUAGAACAUAGUUCUCAGUUAACCUGUGCUCCAGGAAUGGAUUUUGGUGAAAAAGAUGGGUCACAAAUUGCCUUCUCAGCAGCAGCACAAAACGGGAGUGGAAACAUGGAGAGACCUUGUGCUUCUCGGUCUGUCACGAGUGCAGCACUAGAACUUGCUAUGACAGUGACCACUGAUACAGAAAAUGACCCCCCCAUUUCUAAAGAAAAACGAAGGCGCAUAAGUUCAGGCAAUGGUAUUUCAGAAGAUCCAUGUUGUAGGUCACGUAGAAAGUUUGGGGAGAAGGAUGGGACACAAAUCGCCUUCUCACGAGAACCACAAAAUGAACUGGGAAAUCAGGAGAGACCCUCUGCUUCUCGAUCUGUCCAGAAUGCAGCGUUAGAACUUGCUAUGACAGUGAACACUGAUUUAGAUAAUGCUCCCCCCAUUUCUAAAGAAAAGGGAAAGUGCACCAGUCCAGGCAAUGAUAUUUCAGAAGUCCCAUGUUCUAGGUCCCGAAUAGAGUUCCCACACAUGCCUACCUCAAACCUUUGCAGGACAUCAUUGCGUCAAGAGGAAUCUCCAGCUGCAAGGGCAGAUCUACCGUCAGUUAAUAUUAAUCAAAUGAUGCAAGCUGAGGAUACAGACUGCGAAGAAGUACUUAGUGGUCAAAUUUCUCAUGUGGCCCAAGUUACUGAGCAGCCAAACAUGCACUCUAAUACCGAAAAUGUAUUGAACCAGUACCAUUGUGGUUCUACUUUCCAGGCUGAUGCUAGUCAUCCAUAUCAACAGUCUGGUGGGAAUACUCAUUCAGCAAGGACUGGUGUAGCCAAUCUAGGGGCAUCACAUGUUCAUCCAGCAUCACCCAAUCAGGUGCCAACAGAUUCCACUACUGGGCAAUAUCUGUCUGGAGAUGGGCUUCCAUCAGAUCCAUUUACCAUUGAGUUGAGUCGAUUACAGUCAUUGCAGAAUCUGAUAGCAAAGAGGCAUCAAGAGAAGCGAGAACAGCUUAUUUUGGCACGUCAAAUAGAGAUCGCUCAAGCUAAAAAGAAGUAUGACGAGCUGGUGUAUAAUUCAGAGGUGGAAGUAUUAGAGAGAAAGAGAGACCUUAAGAUAAUGUGUGAAAAAAUUUACAAACAGCAGAUAUUGGCUGAGGUAUUCCAGGUUAUAUUUAAGGCCUCUGCUAGAGUUAUUCCAGACAGUCCGAGAGCCCAAAAAAUGGUGGUGGAGCCUAAUUGUCCGUCGGAGCAGCAUAAUUUCCAGUUUCCUGCAUCUGUUUCAGCUCGUGCAUCAACAGCCAUGUGCCUGUCACGGCAAUUGUCUGUGCAACCAUCGAUAGAAGCCUCCCUCAGACAGCACUGUGUGACCACGCAACAUACUACUAUGGACACCUUUGGUAGAUCCACUACUACCUCGAUGCCUAAUCCAAGUGGUGGCAUGGGUAAUGGACUUGCAUACCAUAGACGGGCACCUCUUCUACAUUCAUUUGUAAAUACGCCGCCAGCAUCCGUUCUCCGUCAUGGAUCUGCAAACCUGGAGGAAUAGCCGCAUUGGUUGCCCUUCAAAGAACCUGUGAGGCCUGUAGGCGUACCAUUAGAGUUCACGUCUUGCUGGUCAGGGGAUUUCUGUUUCACACCGGACUGCCGGACGCAGCAUGCCAUGUGCACAGCAAAAGUCUCAAAUUUUGAUUACUUCUUUCUUGAUUUGCUUUUCUGGUUGUAGGUUUGUAAGGCUGGCAUGUAGAUUACCCACUUGAGUGAUCUUCUAAUACACAAUGAAGCGCGUUUAGAUGCGUGCCUUCAUUGUCUGGAACUAGAAGCUAUGCUAGAUAGCUUAAUGGAACUAGAAGUCACUAGGCAGAUCGUUGUCUGGUGCAAACAUUACCAUCAAAUGUGCUAAUCUGUUAAUGCCUGCCUUCAUCAUGACUGAAUGCUGACGCAGGGUAGGUUGAGAGUCUGAUUCAGCAAUACUUGUCACUUGAGCUGCAACUCUGGGAAACUAACAUUAAAAGCUCUAGGCUCUAGCUCCUUUUCAGUUA